rnacentral:snRNA from 1 species
AUAUUUACCUGGCAGGGGAGAUGCCCUGAUUGUGAAGGCUUAUCCAUUGCACUCUGGGCGCGCUGACCUCCUGCGAUUUCCCCAAAUGUGGGAAAUUCAACUGCAUAAUUUGUGGUAGCGGGGGCCUGCACUUGUGCUCUCUCCAA